AAAAAAACAAAAAAUAUUAUGUUGCCGUCUGACACAAUAUAGGGGCACAAAGGUUAUUAUACUCAGCAGAUAACAGUUGAAAAUUCGAAGACUUAAUUUUGGAGUCUUCCGAGUAUAGACAAUGAUAAUACCCUUUUUUUUUGUCACAAGUGUGUUUUAUUUAGUAU
rnacentral:sRNA from 1 species